AAAGAAUUAGUUAAAUUAAAUAACAUUAGAAUGUCAAACUAAAAUCAUUAAAUUAUUAAUAUUCUUUA
rnacentral:tRNA from 1 species